AUGGCGGAGCCGUACGACCUCAUCCACCACGCCGUCGAGUUCUACGCCGGCGUUACAUCCUUUUACUUCGCGGCUACGACGGGGUGUGCGGCCCUUCUCGUCUUCGACUCCAACGAGGACCGUGAGCUGACCAUGACUCACUUCCCCGCCAAGUUCGCCGGCGUCACCAUCACUCUCCUCUGUCCGGAGGAGACCGACAACCGGGCCACCACGCGCUACGACCACUUGGUGGAGAUCGAGGCCAAGAACUUCCCGCUCGAGCUGUGGCACCCCCAAGGCGCCAACUUCGUGUUCGGCCACUUUGGGGUGCUCUGCUGCGUCGACAGCCGCUGCCUCAACGCCGGCGACUUCACGGCGAUGCGCGCCUUUCUCCGCGUUGAGAGUGACCAUGUCACCCCGGAUGGGUGCAUCCUUCGCCUUCCGCCAGCCCAAAUCGUCGACGUCAAGCUCCGUGUUGUCAAGACUUGGGCCGUCUUUGAGGACCUCACCAUCUCCCUCGACCACGACGUGGACGGCAACGGCAGUGAAGCUCACGUCCACGGUGCCUGGCGGUGGAACUGCAGCCAUGUUGGGCCUUGCUCUGGCCCACACGCUGCAGUUUCCAUGCAGCCACCAACAACAACUGCUGGGCCGUCCUCGCCUCCUCAAGCUCAAGCCACGCAAGCCCCUCGCAACUUUCUCCAACCUCUCGUCGGCGGUCCUCUGUUGCCACCGGCUGCGGCCCCUGCUGAUGCGCUCGUGCUGUCCGACGACAGUGAAGGCAUUGAGGGCGCCGCCCAGGACCCUGACCUCUCCGGCACCCUCACGCCAUCAGUCGAUGUCUCCAACUCCUCCGCGCUCGAUUUAGAUGGUGGAGACCUCGCUUCUCUCGGUCAAGGAUUCUACCUCGCUUGGGUCUGA
rnacentral:rRNA from 1 species